rnacentral:rRNA from 1 species
CAGGAAGCAGCUUGCUGAUUCGCUGACGAGUGGCGGACGGGUGAGUAACGUUCGGGAAACCGCCUGAUGGAGGGGGAUAACUACUGGAAACGGUAGCUAAUACCGCAUAACGUCGCAAGACCAAAGAGGGGAACCUUGAGUUUUCCAGCCAUCGGAUGUGCCCAGAUGGGAUUAGCUAGUAGGUGGGGUAACGGCUCACCUAGGCGACGAUCCCUAGCUGGUCUGAGAGGAUGACCAGCCACACUGGAACUGAGACACGGUCCAGACUCCUACGGGAGGCAGCAGUGGGGAAUAUUGCACAAUGGGCGCAAGCCUGAUGCAGCCAUGCCGCGUGUAUGAAGAAGGCCUUCGGG